rfam:Nicotiana sylvestris Nsyl_contig179232, whole genome shotgun sequence.
UGGACAGAUUACUAUAUUCGACUGUAUUCACGGUGUGAAACAGGGGAUUAUACUGUUUUUAAACGGAAAUUGUAUCAAUUAACAUAAUAGACUCCU